AAACUGGGAUUAGAUACCCCACUAUGCCCAGCCGUAAACCUUAAUUUACACCAAAAUCGCCAGGGAACUACGAGCUAAGCUUAAAACCCAAAGGACUUGACGGUACCCCAUAUCCACCUAGAGGAGCCUGUUCUAUAAUCGAUAACCCCCGUUAAACCUCACCACCUUUAGCUUAUCAGCCUGUAUACCUCCGUCGUCAGCUUACCACGUGAGCGGCUUCAGUGAGCUCAGUGUCCACUCGUCAAAACGUCAGGUCAAGGUGCAGCUUAUAAGGUGGGAAGAGAUGGGCUACACUCUCUAAUCUAGAGCACACGAAAGACUACGAAUGAAAAAUAAUCUAAAGGCGGAUUUAGUAGUAAAAAGAGACAAGAGAGCUCUUUUAAACCCGGCACUGGGGUGUGUACACACCGCCCGUCACCCUCUUCAAAGCUCGUAACCCAGUAUUUAACUAAACAAAGCAUAAAAGAAGAGGCAAGUCGUAACAUGGUAAGUAUACCGGAAGGUGUGCUUGGAAA
rnacentral:rRNA from 1 species